UGAGAAUAAAAUUCUGGUAAUCCGUUUUUCUAAGUCUUAUCUAAAUUGUUUUCUCUCCUGUGUUUAUGACAUAAGAACAGGUGGAAAAAGUUUUUUUGCCAGGAUAAU